AAAGUAUACCCUUUGAAAUCAAGCCUUUGUUGGAAUUUGAAUGCCAUAUUACUAUGCUAAACACACAAGGCAUUCAAAUUCCAACAGAGGCUUGAUUUCAAGGGGUAUACUUU